UAUGGCCAUAUCACGUUGAAACACCAGUUCCCAUAUGAUCAUCAAAGUUAAGCAACAUCAAACCUAGUCAGUACCUAGAUGAGAGAUCACUUGGGAAUGCCAGGUGCUGUAAG